rnacentral:lncRNA from 1 species
AUUGGGCUCAGUCCUGGCUGUGGAGGGUAGUGCCUUGCCCAGCUCCUCUGGCUGGUGACAGCCCUCGGGCCUCAGUUCAGUUGUAUCUGAUCAGGACUUGACCACACAGAGGCUUCCUUUUCUCCAAGAAGAGGAUGGAAUAGACAAGCUGGAGCUGCUGGCUCCCGGAUGAAUUUCAGACCUGGGGUUCUCAGCUCCAGGCAACUUGGACUCCCAGGACCUCCUGAUGUUCCUGACCAUGCUGCUUACCACCCCUUCCGCCGUCUGGCCAUCUCUGCACAGCCAGGCUGGACCUAUCCCUGACAGCAUGCUCUUCUGUUUGAAAAUCUCCUGUGACAAAGGCCAUUCUAGGUGGAGUGUAUGUGUGGCAGGAUGGGGGGCUGGAGCUUGGUGGCAGCGCUGCUGGUUGCCCGCCUCCUGACUGCCUUCCUGCUCCCUUUCUGUUUCCGGAUGUUCCUGCCCUAGUGCCUGCUUCAGCACCACCAGCCACCUCAAAUCCUGAUCCAGCUGUGUCUCGUGUCAUGAAUAUGAAAAUCGAAGGUGCCCCCAAGGCCAGAGGCCCUGUCCUAACAGGGGGAUCCUGGGAGGGGAGUGACCUGUCACAUGUCUCGAUGUUGAAGUAGUGAGGGAACCCAGCCACACCUAGUCACUGCUCCCUCCCUCAACCUCCCACUCCUCAGGAAGGGGCUGCCUAAACCCAGACUUUUUCUUCUUUUAGAAACAACCAUGACAACCCAAACCCCAGGUAAGUUCCCAGCCCCCUUGGCCCCUUUCCACAUCCUUGCCCCCAGCCUGCCCUUCCUGCUCCAGGAGCCGUGCCCCGGCUGUCCCAGCCCCCAUACAGGCUCCCUCUGCCAUCCUGCCACUGCCUGGGCAGAGUGUGGAGCGGCUCUGUGUGGACCCCAGACACCGCCAGGGGCCAGUGAACCUGCUCUCAGACCCUGAGCAAGGGGUUGAGGUGACUGGCCAGUAUGAGAGGGAGAAGGCUGGGUUCUCAUGGAUCGAAGUGACCUUCAAGAACCCCCUGGUAUGGGUUCACGCAUCCCCUGAACACGUGGUGGUGACUCGGAACCGAAGAAGCUCUGCGUACAAGUGGAAGGAGACGCUAUUCUCAGUGAUGCCCGGCCUGAAGAUGACCAUGGACAAGACGGGUCUCCUGCUGCUCAGUGACCCAGACAAAGUGACCAUCGGCCUGUUGUUCUGGGAUGGCCG